CCUACGGGUGGCAGCAGUGAGGAAUAUUGGUCAAUGGACGAGAGUCUGAACCAGCCAAGUAGCGUGAAGGAUGAAUGCCCUAUGGGUUGUAAACUUCUUUUAUAUGGGAAUAAAACGUUCCAUGUGUGGGAUUUUGUCUGUACCAUAUGAAUAAGGAUCGGCUAACUCCGUGCCAGCAGCCGCGGUAAUACGGAGGAUCCGAGCGUUAUCCGGAUUUAUUGGGUUUAAAGGGAGCGUAGGGGGAUUGGUAAGUCAGUUGUGAAAGUUUGCGGCUCAACCGUAAAAUUGCAGUUGAAACGGGCAGUCUUGAGUACAGUAGAGGUGGGCGGAAUUCGUGGUGUAGCGGUGAAAUGCUUAGAUAUCACGAAGAACUCCGAUUGCGAAGGCAGUUCACUGGACUGCAACUGACACUGAGGCUCGAAAGUGUGGGUAUCAAACAGGAUUAGAGACCCCUGUAGUC
rnacentral:rRNA from 1 species